rnacentral:rRNA from 1 species
CCUACGGGAGGCAGCAGUGGGGAAUAUUGCACAAUGGGGGAAACCCUGAUGCAGCCAUGCCGCGUGUGUGAAGAAGGCCUUCGGGUUGUAAAGCACUUUCAGCGAGGAGGAAAGGUUGAUGCCUAAUACGUAUCAACUGUGACGUUACUCGCAGAAGAAGCACCGGCUAACUCCGUGCCAGCAGCCGCGGUAAUAAUCUCUAGAGG